GUUGAACGCUGGCGGCAGGCUUAACACAUGCAAGUCGAGCGGGGUGAUGGUGCUUGCACUAUCACUUAGCGGCGGACGGGUGAGUAAUGCUUAGGAAUCUGCCUAUUAGUGGGGGACAACAUCUCGAAAGGGAUGCUAAUACCGCAUACGUCCUACGGGAGAAAGCAGGGGAUCACUUGUGACCUUGCGCUAAUAGAUGAGCCUAAGUCGGAUUAGCUAGUUGGUGGGGUAAAGGCCUACCAAGGCGACGAUCUGUAGCGGGUCUGAGAGGAUGAUCCGCCACGCUGGGACUGAGGCACGGCCCAGACUCCUACGGGAGGCAGCAGUGGGGAAUAUUGGACAAUGGGGGGAACCCUGAUCCAGCCAUGCCGCGUGUGUGAAGAAGGCCUUAUGGUUGUAAAGCACUUUAAGCGAGGAGGAGGCUCUUUUGGUUAAUACCCAAGAUGAGUGGACGUUACUCGCAGAAUAAGCACCGGCUAACUCUGUGCCAGCCGCCGCCGUAA
rnacentral:rRNA from 1 species